rnacentral:rRNA from 1 species
GACAGAGGCCCCAAGCGUUAGGCGGAAUCACUGGGCUUAAAGCGUGUGUAGGCGGCUCGUUAAGUGUCUUGUGAAAUCCCACGGCUCACCCGUGGAACUGCUGGGCAUACUGGCGAUCUUGGGCCAACUAGGGGCAGCCGGAACAAGCGGUGGAGCGGUGAAAUGCGUAGAUAUCGCUUGGAACGCCGAAGGUGAAAACAGGCUGCUGGGGUUGUGCCGACGCUGAGACACGAAAGCCAGGGGAGCAAACGGG